CAGCUGCUGGCCUAUGCCACAGCCACAGCCAUGCCAGAUCCAAGCUGCAUCUGCGAUCUACACUUCAGUUUAUGGCAAUGCCAGAUUCUUAAGCCGCUGAGCGAGGCCAGGGAUCUAACCCGCGUCCUCAUGAAUACUAGGUGGAUUCUUAAUCCACAGAACCACAAUAGAAACUCCCAUUCACUUCCAAGGGAUUUUGAUUUAUGUAUUUAUUUCCAUUACCCUAACUUUUUUUUUUAUUAACUAAAUUGCACACUUUAUUCAGAUUUCAUUAAUUUUCCCCUAGAGUCCUUUUUCUCCUCCAGAAUUAUAGUUUCAGACUUUUCUUGUUUUUGAUGACUGUGACUGUUUUGAGGACUACUAGAAAUUUUGUAGAAUAGCCCUCAAUUGAGAUUUAUCUGAUGUUUUCCUCAUGAUUAAACUGGGUUAUGGGUUUUAGGGAGGAAGACAACAGGUGAAGUGCCAUUCUUAUCACAGCAUCAAGGGUAUAUACCAAAAAACAUAAAAAUUGAUGAUGUUAACAUUGAUCACCUAUUUGACGUCUUUGUGAGGUUUCAGUCUCCACCUGUUCAUACUCUACUCUUUGGAAGCAAGUCGCCAAGCAUAGCCCAUGCUCAAGGCCUUGACCUAAUUUUGAUUCAUGUAUUUUUUAUUUCUCUUAGCCUGAUUUCCUUGUGCAUAAAUCAACAUUUAAGCUUGGACAGAUAUUUAUUGAGUAUCUACUGUUUUUAAGUGCUAAGAAUUUAGUAAGGAGCAGGAGACAUCAUUCCUACUCUUUUGGAGGAGUCUGCCUAAUGUAAUCAUAAAAUAGAAUGUAUCCCCUUACCUGCAUAGGUCUUCUUUCAUUGACAGUUAUAAGCAUAGCAUUACUGUAAGCUAAAAGGCAUAAAGCUAUUAAGUAGCCAUUUAGAAAAUAUGCUGUCAUCAUAAAGGUUAAAUGUAUAUAUCAUAAAAAUAACUAUCUUUCUGCUACCAACAUGUAUAAAGUUACUUUGGUUCUCUCCAAGUAGGUGUAUUACUGUUGAAUUACCAGAAUAGUUUAGUUAUCAUUAAUUAUCUUCAUAUCUUAUAAAGUUUGCAGGUUGUAUAAGAAAAUUCUUGGCUUCUUUAUUGUAUUUUUCUAGGUAUUUGGUGCUUUUGCUACUUAGAGGUUUUCGAAGAAGUUGUUGGAAAGACUUGUUGAAUGAGAAUUUGAGUUAAUUUUUCUACUUAACUGGGUUAACUAAAAGUACUCUUACUUUGAAUUCUGAUUGGAAUUCUUACUGAAAUAUUAAUGCAUUUUCACAUUUUUUAGUGUUCAGUCCACUGAGCCUAAUUUAAUAUUUAAAUUAGAAUUUUGACACAGUAUAGUUAUUUUGAGGCAUAUGUAUAACCCUGAAGGUAGAGAAUUGAGGAAAUUGAUAGACGUACAUUCUCGUGGUUUAUCUUAAAAGAGGAAAUACAGAAAAAAAGGAAGAGAUUUCUUGUAAAUUAAGACUUUACUGUUCCUUCUGCCUGCCCUAUGCCUCUCCUCCAUCCUUAAAAGUUCAGUUUAAAUUCUACCUCUGCGCCGACUGAACAACAUUUGUUAAUAAUCAUAGCAAGAAUUAAGUGACUACCAUGUUUUGGCUUGGUAUUACCUUAGACACAUGAGUAUAUAAUUUAAUCACCCAUAACAACUGUGCAGUUGUUUUAUUCUUAUAAAGAAACAGAAGGUAUGUAAAUGCAGAGCUGGAUAUUUGAACCCAGGUCUUUAUGAUUUUAAUUAGGGUUUUUUUUGUUUGUUUGGUCUUUUUUGGGCCGCACCUGUGGCAUAGGGAGGUUCCCAGACUAGGGGUUUAAUUGGAGCUUUAAUUUAGUUUAAUUUAAUUGCUGCCAGCCUAUGCCACAGCCACAGCAACACGGGGUCUGAGUUGAGUCUGCGACCUACACCACAGCUAACAGCAAUGCCAGAUCCUUAACCCACUGAGCCAGGCCAGGGACCUGAGCCCGCAACCUCAUGGUUCCUAGUCAGAUUCGUUUCCACUGUGCCAUGACGGGAACUCCAGGUCUUUAUGAUUUUAAAACUUAAUCUUGUUUGUUUGUUUUGGCUGCAUUCUUGGCAUGUGGAACUUCUGGAGCAGGGAUCAAUCCCCAGCCACAGCCAAGACAGUGACACUGGAUCCUUAACCCACUGUAAAACUUCAUAUUCUUUGUGCUAUGACCUGAAGUCUUUGAAAAAUGGAUAUUUGCCAGGACAAGAUGCUUGCAUCUUGGUAUCUCCCCAGGAAGAAUAAAGGGUAAAGAGAGCAAACUAAUAUUUAUAGAAUGCCUAUUCUGUGAUAUGAAUGCCACAACUAUAUUGUUGUAGUAAAUUAAGUAAGUGAUGUUGGGACAUAGGAGGUUAUUUGUCAGAGAUUAAGUAAAUUGAUGGAUGAUGGGUCUGCUUGACAUCAAAGCUUUAUUACUCUUUUACUUUUCUAUUUUUCUAGUACAGGACUCUGCUAUAUAUAUUCAUUCUUUUAAACUUUUGCUUACUAAAUUUUAUGAUCUGUGAUAGAGCAUAAAAAUGAAUGUAAUUUUGUUCUGAAUAAAGAGUUUAUAUUCUAGUACACUUUCUUAAAUGUAUGUUAAAGAAUCAGUAUAGUAAGUUGUUAUUGAAAAGAAAAUUUCAGGAGUUCCUGUUACGGCACAGUGGAAACAAACCCGACUAGUAUCCGUGAGAAUUUGGGUUCGAUCCCUGGCCUUGCUCAGUGGGUCAGGGAUCCAGCAUUGCUGUGAGCUGUAGUGUAGGUUGAAGACGCAGCUUCGCUCUGGCAUUGCUGUGGCUGUGGGGUAGGCCUGCAGCUGUAGCUCCAAUUAGACCCCUAGCCUGGGAA
ensembl:lncRNA